rnacentral:misc_RNA from 1 species
CGAUGAUGUUGAAAUUGACUCUACUAUCAACCAGACCAACAGCCGUGCCCGCCGAAGAUUUGUGGUGGAUGAUGAAGAUGAAGGAUUUAACUCAAAUGAAGAGGAGGAGUUGUUUGAGCUUUCCGACAACCAGGAGAGUGAUGAGGAGGUGGAGGAUGUUGUAGGAAAGGCAUUGCAAAAGUGUGGGAAAAUAUCUAUGGAGCUUAAGAGAGAGCUUUUUGGUACUGCAGCUGCAAAGUGUGAUUCCUUUGUUGAAGUGGAGGAGGCUUCGUCACUAAGAAUUGUCACUCAGGAUGAUAUAGACAUGGCAUGUGGAGAAGAAGAUUCGGAUUUUAAGCCAAUAUUAAAACCUUACCAGCUCGUUGGAGUCAAUUUCCUCCUUUUGUUGUAUAGAAAGAAAAUCGGUGGAGCUAUUCUGGCUGAUGAAAUGGGUCUUGGUAAG